rnacentral:rRNA from 1 species
GAUGAACGCUGGCGGCGUGCCUAAUACAUGCAAGUCGAGCGAACGGACGAGAAGCUUGCUUCUCUGAUGUUAGCGGCGGACGGGUGAGUCACACGUGGAUAACCUACCUAUAAGACUGGGAUAACUUCGGGAAACCGUAUCUAAUACCGGAUAAUAUUUUGAACCGCAUGGUUCAAAAGUGAAAGACGGUCUUGCUGUCACUUAUAGAUGGAUCCGCGCUGCAUUAGCUAGUUGGUAAGGUAACGGCUUACCAAGGCAACGAUGCAUAGCCGACCUGAGAGGGUGAUCGGCCACACUGGAACUGAGACACGGUCCAGACUCCUACGGGAGGCAGCAGUAGGGAAUCUUCCGCAAUGGGCGAAAGCCUGACGGAGCAACGCCGCGUGAGUGAUGAAGGUCUUCGGAUCGUAAAGCUCUGUUAUUAGGGAAGAACAUAUGUGUAAGUAACUGUGCACAUCUUGACGGUACCUACUCAGAAAGCCCCGGCUAACUACGUG